GCCACACACCCCACCCAACUUUUCUGGGAAUACCCCUCCCCCCCUGUUCCUGUGUCUUUUUGAGCCAUUUAGAAGGGAUAUGAAUAGAAGCGAGGUGGUUUACAUUUCAAAUGUCACCUUGUCUGCCGCUUUGUAAAUGUGACGCUCCAAUUAUGUUUGGAGUUUUCAUUAUCUUCAUUAACUAGUAACUCUCAUCGGGGAAGAGAAAGGAGAAAAGAGACAAGGGAUAAAACUAAAAUGAGACCAGUUAUUAUUUUGGUGCCUAAUUCUCUUGUUGCUGAACAAAAUCGGCCAGAAUUUCACAUCUUGACUGAUCAAACAGUCAAUAUUCAGGUGAAGUUGGAUUUGUUUGUUUGGGCGCCUUUUUUUCAGUUCAUUUUGAAGUUGUUUUUAGAUGCAGCUUUUCAUUUGAUCUAUGACUACACUUGACCAGAAGCGCUUUUAAAUUUUUGGGCAUGUGCUUCGUCAAAGCGAUCCUAUUCUUCUCUUGACAGACUCUUUUGUUUACCUUUGACAGCUGCGUUCAUCAGAAAAUAUGAAACAGAACACACCACACAGUCUACCUGGUCUUCGCACGAGAUAAAUCUUGAACUAGGUAUAAUUCUUCAAAGAAACCAAGUUCCAAUGGCUAAAUGGAAAAGUAUUCACUAUUUGGUUCACUGAUUUACUUUUUGAUAACCGUGGCCAGGAGCCGUGAAAACAUAGAGUUUCUGUGGCUAAAAUAUGGAAAUCUACUGAGCAAAAAACGAAAUAGAAGAAUUAAAAUUGUAAGUCAGCUCAUCAGUAAACAACGUUGAAAUUGCCUGGUUCUGUUGCUGAAGGAUUUGAGAAACUUGGUGCGGAAAUUGCAGUCAAAGCCGGGCCGCUGUCUGUUGUCUUGUGUUUACUUGCACAUAUCCGUGCGAGGACCUGCAGAGGCUGGUCACCUCAACUGUAGUCAAACACUCCAUGAAGUUCCAUCCCUUGUCUCUUUUCUGUUCUAGUGUGCAGCUAUUAUGAAACCUGAGAAUCUCUCCCCUGGUGAGAGUUAAUAGUUAAUGACAAUGAUGAAAACUUGAGACAUAAUGGGAGGGUCAUAUUUGCAAUAAUUGUGGUUGAUUUACUAGUGAGCUAAAACUUGUCUUUAUCUUUAAGGAUCUGUAUGCCUGCAAGAUCAUGUGUCAUGAAUAUCCAUGCCAGAAUGAGAACAGACCAAUAAUUAUUAUUAACUAAAGGCAGACUGAACUAAACGGAGAAUUAAGUUCAUGCUCUAGAUGCACAUGGAUCUGUAUCCUGACAAGAUGAGGACACACACACCAACAGACUGGACCAAAUGGAAGAUUUAGUUCGCACUGUAUGCUGGCAUGGCAAGUCGCUAGGGACAUACAUGUAGAGCACAGGAUCAAGGACUGUGGACCCAGGACAGAGGACCCAGGACAGAGGACCCAGGACUCAGGACAGUCAGGAUCAAGGAGCAAGGACAGGACUGAGGAAUGACGACUGGCAGCUGGGAAUCAAGGACAGUGGACGAAAGCAAGCCUUUGAUGAGCAAGAACUUGCAUAAGUUGAAUUAUACAUAAUUAUAGUAAGGUAUAUGAGAUAUUACCAGUAGCAGAGAUGGCACAAUGCACCUUGUGCAGAGGGUUUUUCUCUAGGUACUCCGGUUUCCCUCACUCCUCACUUUAACAAAAUUGGCAACACAUUGCAGUAGGUUGAUUGAGGCGAAAAAUUCUUUGAUUACCCCAGGUAAACAUUUUUUUUUGCAAUGGAAUACCAAUUUGUUGCUCUCUGCUUAUUUCCUAGUUACAUGAGCACACUUCGUUUCGAAGUCUCCUUUGCAGCUGUUAUUCUAGUCAAUGAGUAAAUUGGGAACAAGCUUUAUUCACUUUCUGUAUGUUUCAAAGGUCUCUUUUUUAAUCAUAGGUAAAGGGAACUUUUCAAGUCCAAUCAAUUAAUCAAUCAAUCAAUCAAUCAAUCAAUCAAUCACUCAAUCAAUCACUC
rnacentral:lncRNA from 1 species